GUGGGGAAUAUUGGACAAUGGGCGAAAGCCUGAUCCAGCCAUGCCGCGUGUGUGAAGAAGGUCUUCGGAUUGUAAAGCACUUUAAGUUGGGAGGAAGGGCAUUAACCUAAUACGUUAGUGUUUUGGCGUUACCAACAGAAUAAGCACCGGCUAACUUCGUGCCAGCAGCCGCGGUAAUACGAAGGGUGCAAGCGUUAAUCGGAAUUACUGGGCGUAAAGCGCGCGUAGGUGGUUCAGCAAGUUGAAGGUGAAAUCCCCGGGCUCAACCUGGGAACUGCCUCCAAAACUACUGAGCUAGAGUACGGUAGAGGGUAGUGGAAUUUCCUGUGUAGCGGUGAAAUGCGUAGAUAUAGGAAGGAACACCAGUGGCGAAGGCGACUACCUGGACUGAUACUGACACUGAGGUGCGAAAGCGUGGGGAGCAAACAGGAUUAGAUACCCUAGUAGUCC
rnacentral:rRNA from 1 species